AAGACCAUAUUUUCAAGGAUAAGUUUUAUAAUUCAUUACUAGCCAUGUAUUCCACUACUUAGCAUGAGGGAGAGACAACAUUCUCUCCUAAGAGUGAAGCUGGCCUUUGGGUUACUUUACUGGAACUGAUGUUAACCAUUGGUAGUCAUUCUGCCUGCUCUCCCUACUCUGAUCCAGAGAAUGUAGCAGGGAAGAUUGCAGUCUGAGUGAG
ensembl:snoRNA U3 Small nucleolar RNA U3